rnacentral:rRNA from 1 species
CCUACGGGAGGCAGCAGUGAGGAAUAUUGGUCAAUGGGCGGAAGCCUGAACCAGCCAAGUCGCGUGCAGGAUGACGGCCCUACGGGUUGUAAACUGCUUUUAUCCGGGAAUAACGCGCCUUACGUGUAGGGCUUUGCAUGUACCGUAUGAAUAAGGACCGGCUAAUUCCGUGCCAGCAGCCGCGGUAAUACGGAAGGUCCGGGCGUUAUCCGGAUUUAUUGGGUUUAAAGGGAGCGUAGGCCGCAUGUCAAGCGUGCGGUGAAAUGUCCGGGCUCAACCCGGGCCGUGCAGCGCGAACUGGCGUGCUUGAGUCAGCGGAAAGCAGGCGGAAUGCGUGGUGUAGCGGUGAAAUGCUUAGAUAUGACGAAGAACCCCGAUUGCGAAGGCAGCUUGCGGCAGCGGAACUGACGCUGAUGCUCGAAAGCGCGGGUAUCGAACAGGAUUAGAUACCCUUGUAGUC